rnacentral:rRNA from 1 species
UCGGAUUGUAGUCUGCAACCCGACUACAUGAAGCUGGAAUCGCUAGUAAUCGCGAAUCAGAAUGUCGCGGUGAAUACGUUCCCGGGUCUUGUACACACCGCCCGUCACACCAUGGGAGUCGGUAACACCCGAAGUCGGUAGCCUAACCGUAAGGAGGGCGCCGCCAAGGUGGGAUUGAUGACUGGGGUGAAGUCGUAACAAGGUACC